AGGUCUUUCUCCCCUGCUCAGUCUAGAGGUCUGGACGGUGAGCUCAACUCUACCAUGAGGACACCAACUUCCAGGGAGGCAUUUGGCUUUCCCCAGCCUUAUUUUCUUCCAUCUGCAAAAUGAAGCCAUGGAUUCAGCUCUUUCAGAGAUCUUUUCAGCUCUAGGGGAGUGCUCCAUCCCUGAAGAUGGGUAAAGACCAAGAGCAUGGCUAUGGUAAACUGUAUAGGUAUAGGCUGGAGACAGCUCUGGUGUUGAGGAUUUGGGUAAUAGAACACUUACUAUGAACCCACAAUGUGAAGUGGUUACUAAAGAAGGUUUCGUGAGGCCUUAGCUUAAAGUGUCUGCAUAGAUACUGUUGGGACUGCACCCAGAUGACCUCAGAGCCUUCUCACCAUUUGUCAUGGACUGAAUGUGUCCCAUCAAAUUCAUAGGUUGAAGCUCUAACCCCCAAUGUGGAUGUAUUUGGAGUUAGCUUCUUUAAAGAAGUAAUUAAGGUUAAAUAAAGCAUUAGAUUCUCAGGUAAAGGCAAAAAGGAAAAAAAAAAAAAGAGGCUGUUAGGGUGGGACUCUAAUCCAAUCUGACUAGUGUCCUCAUAGGAACAGGAAGAGACACCAGGGAUGUGCAGGCACAGAAGAAAGGCCAAAUAAGGGCACCAUUUGGGAAGGUGGCCACCUGCAAGCCAAGGAGAGAAACACUCACCAGAAAUCAACCCGGUGGCACCUUGAUAUUUGAUUUCCAGCCUCCAGGAUGGUGAGAAAAAAAAUUCUGUUGCUCAAAGCACCCACUCUGUGGUAUUUUGUCAUAGCAGCCCAACCAGACUAAUACACCAGUUCUGGGUGCCCAGCCCUCUUCUGUGCACUUCACAUUUUUUUUUAUUUAUGUUUUGACUCAGGUUCUUGCUCUGUUGCUCAAACUGGACAGCAAUGGUGUGAUCUCAGCUCACUGCCAUCUCAACCUCCUGGGCUCAAGUGAUCCUCCCACAUCAGCCUCCUAAGUAGCUGGGACCACAGGCACACACCAAAAU
rnacentral:lncRNA from 10 species